rnacentral:misc_RNA from 1 species
GUCCAAGACCUCCUUGCCAGAAGUCUAUACCCUUGAUCAUUAUAUUAUAUUACAUAUUAUAUAGUAAAACUUAAUCCCAAGUCACUAUUUAUAGGAUGAUUAACUUGGGUGAAGUCUAAAUUUCUAAUUUGCCCUCUCAAAUUUUUUUUCCAUUUAUUUCUUUUUCUUUCUUCUUGGAAAACUCACAUCCUAAUGAGUGGAUAUGAAUAAA